AACGAACGCUGGCGGCAGGCUUAACACAUGCAAAUCGAACGCCCCGCAAGGGGAGUGGCAGACGGGUGAGUAACGCGUGGGAAUCUACCCAUCUCUACGGAAUAACUCAGGGAAACUUGUGCUAAUACCGUAUACGCCCUUCGGGGAAAGAUUUAUCGGAGAUGGAUGAGCCCGCGUUGGGUUAGCUAGUUGGUGGGGUA
rnacentral:rRNA from 1 species